rnacentral:rRNA from 1 species
UGAGGAAUAUUGGUCAAUGGGCGAGAGCCUGAACCAGCCAAGUAGCGUGCAGGAUGACGGCCCUAUGGGUUGUAAACUGCUUUUGUAUGGGGAUAAAGUCAGUCACGUGUGAUUGUUUGCAGGUACCAUACGAAUAAGGACCGGCUAAUUCCGUGCCAGCAGCCGCGGUAAUACGGAAGGUCCGGGCGUUAUCCGGAUUUAUUGGGUUUAAAGGGAGCGUAGGCUGGAGAUUAAGUGUGUUGUGAAAUGUAGACGCUCAACGUCUGACUUGCAGCGCAUACUGGUUUCCUUGAGUACGCACAACGUUGGCGGAAUUCGUCGUGUAGCGGUGAAAUGCUUAGAUAUGACGAAGAACUCCGAUUGCGAAGGCAGCUGAUGGGAGCGCAACUGACGCUGAAGCUCGAAGGUGCGGGUAUCGAACAGGAUUAGAUACCCUGGUAGUCCGCACAGUAAACGAUGGAUGCCCGCUGUUGGUACCUGGUAUCAGCGGCUAAGCGAAAGCAUUAAGCAUCCCACCUGGGGAGUACGCCGGCAACGGUG